rnacentral:rRNA from 1 species
GUGCCAGCCGCCGCGGUAAUACCGGCGGCUCGAGUGGUGGCCGAUAUUAUUGAGUCUAAAGGGUCCGUAGCCGGCUUUGCAAGUCUCUCGGGAAAUCCAGCGGCUUAACCGUUGGUCGUCCGGGGGGUACUACAUUGCUUGGGACUGGGAGAGGUAGGAGGUACUCAGGGGGUAGGAGUGAAAUCCUGUAAUCCUUUGGGGACCACCGGUGGCGAAGGCGUCCUACCAGAACAGGUCCGACGGUGAGGGACGAAAGCUAGGGGCACGAACCGGAUUAGAUACCCGGGUAGUCC